GGCCUAACCCUUUAGAAAUAAAGGUAUGGCGAAAAGUCCUUGGAAGAUAAAGAACCCAUCAUAUGUGGUUUGUCUUCCAAGGCCGUAUCGGGAAACUGGUACGAGUGACGCAAGUCGCU
rnacentral:sRNA from 1 species